CCUACGGGCGGCAGCAGUGGGGAAUAUUGGACAAUGGGCGAAAGCCUGAUCCAGCCAUGCCGCGUGUGUGAAGAAGGCCUUCGGGUUGUAAAGCACUUUCAGUGGGGAAGAAAGCCUUGGGGCUAAUACCCUCGAGGAAGGACAGCACCCACAGAAGAAGCACCGGCUAACUCCGUGCCAGCAGCCGCGGUAAUACGGAGGGUGCGAGCGUUAAUCGGAAUUACUGGGCGUAAAGCGCGCGUAGGCGGUCUGAUAAGCCGGUUGUGAAAGCCCCGGGCUCAACCUGGGAACGGCAUCCGGAACUGUCAGGCUAGAGUGCAGGAGAGGAAGGUAGAAUUCCCGGUGUAGCGGUGAAAUGCGUAGAGAUCGGGAGGAAUACCAGUGGCGAAGGCGGCCUUCUGGACUGACACUGACGCUGAGGUGCGAAAGCGUGGGUAGCAAACAGGAUUAGAUACCCCAGUAGUC
rnacentral:rRNA from 1 species